GUGAAUCAUCAAAUUUUUGAACGCAAAUUGCACUCUCUUCGGAGAGUAUGCCUGUUUGAGGGUCAGCCUAAAAAAAUCGACAUCGUUGCUUUUUCGCGGUUACGUUCGUCGGAAAUUGGGGCAUCUUAAAUCUUUUUGUUUAAGCGACUUAAAAUUUUCUUGAUUCCAUGAACGUUUUUAAGAUUUUAUAUCUUUAAACGGUUAAGGUAU
rnacentral:misc_RNA from 1 species